AGCAGCCGCGGUAACUCCAGCUCCAAUAGCGUAUAUUAAAGUUGUUGCAGUUAAAAAGCUCGUAGUUGAAUUUCGGGAUCAAUAUAUCGGUCGUGCCUUGGUACGUACUGGUAUCAUUGGUUUCUCCUUUCUGACGAACCAUGAUGUCAUUAAUUUGGUGUUAUGGGAAGUUAGGACUGUUACUUUGAAAAAAUUAGAGUGUUUAAAGCAGGCUUUGGCUUGAAUACAUUAGCAUGGAAUAAUGAAAUAGGACGUUUGAUUCUAUUUUGUUGGUUUCUAGGAUCGACGUAAUGAUUAAUAGGGAUAGUUGGGGGCAUUAGUAUUCAAUUGUCAGAGGUGAAAUUCUUGGAUUUAUUGAAGACUAACUACGGCGAAAGCAUUUGCCAAGGAUGUUUUCAUUAAUCUAAGAACGAAAGUUAGGGGAUCGAAGACGAUCAGAUACCGUCGUAGUCUUAACCAUAAACUAUGUCGACUAGGGAUCGGAUGAUGUUAAUUUUUUAAUGUACUCAUUCGGCGCCUU
rnacentral:misc_RNA from 1 species